GACGAACGCUGGCGGCGUGCUUAACACAUGCAAGUCGAACGGAAAGGCCCUGUUGUUGUGGCGUGCUCGAGUGGCGAACGGGUGAGUAACACGUGAGUAACCUGCCCCUGACUUUGGGAUAACUUCAGGAAACUGGGGCUCCUACCGGAUAGGAGCUCCUGCUGCAUGGUGGGGGUUGGAUAGUUUCGGCGGUGGGGGAUGGACUCGCGGCUUAUCAGCUUGUUGGUGGGGUGGUGGCUUACCAAGGCUUUGACGGGUAGCCGGCCUGAGAGGGUGACCGGCCACAUUGGGACUGAGAUACGGCCCAGACUCCUACGGGAGGCAGCAGUGGGGAAUAUUGCACAAUGGGCGGAAGCCUGAUGCAGCAACGCCGCGUGCGGGAUGACGGCCUUCGGGUUGUAAACCGCUUUCGGCUGAGACGAAGCGUGAGUGACGGUAAGUGGUAAAGAAGCACCGGCUAACUACGUG
rnacentral:rRNA from 1 species